GACGUAGGGCGCGAGCGUUGUCCGGAUUUAUUGGGCGUAAAGAGCUCGUAGGCGGCUUGUUGCGUCGACUGUGAAAACCCGCAGCUUAACUGCGGGCCUGCAGUUGAUACGGGCAGGCUAGAGUUCGGUAGGGGAGACUGGAAUUCCUGGUGUAGCGGUGAAAUGCGCAGAUAUCAGGAGGAACACCGGUGGCGAAGGCGGGUUGCUGGGCUGAUACUGACGCUGAGGCGCGAAAGCGUGGGGAGCGAACAGG
rnacentral:rRNA from 1 species